rnacentral:tRNA from 1 species
GGGCUGGUAGAUCAGAUGGUAGAUCGUUACCUUGGCAUGGUAAAGGCCUCGGGUUCAAAUCCCGAUCAGUCCA